CACGUAGGCACCAAGCGUUGUCCGGAUUUAUUGGGCGUAAAGAGCUCGUAGGCGGCUUGUCGCGUCGACUGUGAAAACCCGUGGCUCAACCAUGUGGUCUGCAGUCGAUACGGGCAGGCUAGAAUUCGGUAGGGGAGACUGGAAUUCCUGGUGUAGCGGUGAAAUGCGUAGAUAUCUGGAGGAACACCGGUGGCGAAGGCGGCAUCCUGGACCGACACUGACGCUGAGGAGCGAAAGCCAGGGGAGCAAGCGGG
rnacentral:rRNA from 1 species